GAGUUUGAUCGUGGCUCAGAGCGAACGCUGGCGGCAGGCUUAACACAUGCAAGUCGAGCGGGCGUAGCAAUACGUCAGCGGCAGACGGGUGAGUAACACGCGGGAACGUACCUUUUGGUUCGGAACAACUGAGGGAAACUUCAGCUAAUACCGGAUAAGCCCUAACGGGGAAAGAUUUAUCGCCGAAAGAUCGGCCCGCGUCUGAUUAGCUAGUUGGUGAGGUAAUGGCUCACCAAGGCGACGAUCAGUAGCUGGUCUGAGAGGAUGAUCAGCCACACUGGGACUGAGACACGGCCCAGACUCCUACGGGAGGCAGCAGUGGGGAAUAUUGGACAAUGGGGCGAACCCUGAUCCAGCCAUGCCGCGUGAGUGAUGAAGGCCCUAGGGUUGUAAAGCUCUUUGUGCGGAAGAUAAUGACGGUACCGCAAGAAUAAGCCCCGACUAACUUCGUGCCAGCCGCCGCCGU
rnacentral:rRNA from 1 species